CCUACGGGGGGCAGCAGUGGGGGAUAUUGCACAAUGGGGGAAACCCUGAUGCAGCGACGCCGCGUGUGGGAAGACGGUCCUCUGGAUUGUAAACCACUGUCCCCAGGGACGAAAUUGACGGUACCUGGGGAGGAAGCUCCGGCUAACUACGUGCCAGCAGCCGCGGUAAUCCGGGGGAUGCAAGCGUUAACCGGAUUUAUUGGGUUUAAGGGGUGCGUAGGCUGUGAGGUAAGGCAGCGGGGAAAUGCCCCGGGGCAACGGGGUGAAGUGCCAUUGAUACUGCCUUGCUGGAAUGCGGAUGCCGUGGGAGGAAUGUGUGGUGUAGCGGUGAAAUGCAUAGAUAUCACACAGAACACCGAUUGCGAAGGCAUCUCACGAAUCCGCGAUUGACGCUGAUGCACGAAAGCGUGGGUAUCAAACAGGAUUAGAUACCCCUGUAGUC
rnacentral:rRNA from 1 species